AUGAUGAUGAUGGUGAUGGUGAUGUCCAUGAUGAUGAAUCUGUUUCCCCUUAAGUUGCUUCCGCAUGUCAUAUGCGUACUCUCCAUCUGCAUAAUACUUUGCCUCCACAUCAUGAAUCUUAUAACCCAAUGUUUCUGUGUAGAGAUUAAAUGCUGCCCGGUUACUCUUCCUAACAUGCAGUGAGACAUACUCUGCACCAAACACCUGUUCCAAAUAAUACCAUGGUGAUGAUAUAGAGAUACACAUACACAACUCAUUUACACACUAACCCUUUAUCCAGUUUUGCACUUAUAGUUGCUCUAUUAAGACAAUUUUCGAACAAAAUUCCGACUAUUUGCCACACAAACUUCAACUACUUAACUGAUCACAUUGGCAAUGCGGAAAUACUCAUUUCGCACUUUCAAUUAAAAAAAUGGUUCAGAACUUGUUCUUAGAAACAAAAUAGUUCAGUAAUAUCAAUCAUAUAAGAGCUUAAUAUCAGCAUUUGUUCACACCAAAAUAUCUUCAAGAAUAGUGAAAUCAUGGACCUAAAGGUAGUCUGAUACAUAUUUUGCAUAAUGAUGCUCUUUCCUUUGGGGAUAAUCAUUUAACACAAUUCAACUACAAAAGUAUAAAAUGACAUAAAUCACAUUCACAAUCAAUUCCCUUAAUCAGAAUUUAUGGGAUAUCCAUUCAAUCCCAAGUGGCAUUCAUUCAAAUACAAAAACAUGCGUAGCCAUCAAACUACAGGAUUUUUCUUCUUCAAAAGUGGUAAUAAAACUGCUUCUCAAUUUCACUAAUUUUAUUAAAACACUCAAAAAAGCAGAGAAAUUUUAUGCAUUUCUUAAGCAUUCAAAGGGUGAAAAAUCAAAUCCCUAAUUCAAUAUCUUCACAAGAAUUAAGCAUAAUACUUAACCUGUUCCAUGGCGGUCUGGGCAGCAUUCAUGAGCUUAGUUGCGAGGCCCAACUUGCGGUGGGUGCGGAGGACGGCGAGAGAGGUAAUAUGACCGUGACACUCGUUAGAUUCUUCCUCCAUCUUGGCUAAGACGUAGCCGACGAUGCGGCCGUUGUAGUCCUCGGCGACGUAGAGGAGCUGGGGCCAGGAGAGGAUGUGGUAGAAAUAAUACUUCAUCUGGUAGUUUUCCGGUAGGCACAGCAGGUUACAGGCUUGCAUCGCCAGUAGGUCAUCUAUUGUCGCCUUCCUUAUGCAAACCAUGGCUGGAUUGCUGAUUUUCUCUAGCUCUUUUCAGGGUUAGGGUUAGGUUUUUACGCUCUUCGGAGCACUCUGGCUUUUGCGAGAAAACGAGGAACCAUUGAGUGUGGUGCGUGUGUAAGAAGUGGCUGUCAGACAU
rnacentral:misc_RNA from 1 species